UGACUAGUGCACAAAAAAUGAGCUGAACACACCCCACCACCUUGCGUAUUCUGCAUGUGCUUCACACUGCCAAUACUUUGUCAUUGGUGCAUUCUUGUUGAACCUCAUUCAUUGGAACUGGCAAGAUGAGCUGAUUUGCGAUUAUAUGAUUUCGCAUAUCGUUGCAGCCGUUCGGUGUUUGCGCUCGUUCCACUUGCUGGAUGUUUCCAGUUAUAUUCAACAACAGUCGUCUUGUGAAUGCGCUCAGAACGUUAGCACCACUGAAUCUGAUUACAGCCCGGCAUUCGCUGCUGAUCCUUCACGAGUUAACAGUUAAUUUUUGAUAUCUUACGACAAUUCAGUAUAUCCCCAUAUCAAAAGCAAGAGUCAGCUGUACUUUAAGGUCUAUCCAAUGAUUUUUCCCCCUCCGGCCGACCUGUAGCCUACUGUUCAGUUCAUCCAGCAAUUAAUGGCAGGUUUAGGUGAGAAUUCACCAGUCGUCAGAUAAACUUAUACAGGCAUAACGUGUCUUGGUCGCAUCUCGUCGUUUAUUUUUGGCGUAUCGACAAAAGAAAAAGAACGAUUUCAAUGUGUGUGGCGAUGUACAUGCAGAAACAGCAGGUAUGAAAUGAUUAAUACCAUUUAGAAAAAAAAUAUGAAGAAUCAUUUUAUGCAGAAGCACUAUUUAGUGUUGGUUGGGUACGCGCAUAUAGAAUAGCAAUGAAAUCCUUGUU